UACGGAGGGGACUGAGCGUUGUUCGGUAAUUACUGGGCGUAAAGGCGCAACGUAGGCGGAUUUGUUAGUCAGGGGUGAAAGUCCCGAGGCCUCAACCUCGGAACUGCCUUUGAUACUGCAGAUCUCGAGUCCGGAAGAGGUGAGUGGAAUUCCUAGUGUAGAGGUGAAAUUCGUAGAUAUUAGGAAGAACACCAGUGGCGAAGGCGGCUCACUGGUCCGGUACUGACGCUGAGGUGCGAAAGCGUGGGGAGCAAACAGGG
rnacentral:rRNA from 1 species